rnacentral:rRNA from 1 species
UACGUAGGGGGGCAAGCGUUGUCCGGAAUUAUUGGGCGUAAAGAGCGUGUAGGCGGUCCGGUAAGUCAGCUGUGAAAGUCAAGGGCUCAACCCUUGAAAGCCGGUUGAUACUGUCGGGCUAGAGUCCGGAAGAGGCGAGUGGAAUUCCCGGUGUAGCGGUGAAAUGCGUAGAUAUCGUAAGGAAGACCAGUGGCGAAGGCGGGUCUCUGGACAGUUCCUGACGCUGAGGCACGGAAGGUCAGGGGGAGCAAACGGGG